rnacentral:misc_RNA from 1 species
AGUCAUCGAACGGCGGGGUAUUCGCUUCGUCAUUCGACCCGAAGAGAGCCCGAGGCGGCGCGGCCGGCAGAAAAUGAUCGACCAUGUCGACCCUGACGUCGCUCGGGGCCAGUGGACGUGGGAGCUGACCGCGGCGGGGCUCGAAUUCAGAGGCGGGCGGCCGAGGAAGUGAUCCUGCUCGACACCAAUGCGGUGAUCUGGCUGCAUCAGCGGGACCGCCGGACGAAACGGCUCGAGAAAAAUCUGACCUUGUACGCGUCGCCGGCCAGCCUCCUCGAGUUACAAAUCCUGGUCGAGGCGGGGCGUUUGCGCCUCCGGUCUGGGUUCCGGGUCGACCAGCUCGUCGGCGAUUCGCGGUUGCUCCUGGACGAUCCACCGGCGGCCGACUGGUUUGCUCAAGCGGUCGACGUUGGCUGGACACGCGAUCCCUUCGACCGACUGAUCGUGGCGCACGCCGAGCUUCGCGGCUGGCGUCUCGCGACGGGCGAUUCGGAGCUCGUCACUAGGCUUGGCGAGCACCGGACUCUGGACCUUUCGUGAACGCGAGAAACGAAAAAGGGGCGGGCCCGAUAGCCGCCAACGGCGCGCGUAACUCGUCGCCGGAACGGGAAAAACGAUCAGCGCCAGAUACAGCUCGCGCUGAAGUACUACUUUUAGAGAGGCUCAACUGAAGUUGAGCCCUACGUCGCUCAACUGCCGUACGUCGCUCAACUGAAGUUGAGCCCUACGUCGCCCAACUGCCCUACGUCGCUCAACUGAAGUUGAGCCGUACGUCGCUCAACUGCCCUACGUCGCUCAACUGAAGUUGAGCCCUACCUGACGCACAUUCGACCUGAGCCUGGGGAUGUCCCGACAGCACCCGCAGGCAGAAGUCCAGGUGUUCUACCAAUCCACGUGCAUGCCGAGUUUGAUCAGCCGGCCCCGCUGGAUGCCGUUGACCGCCCCAUAGCUGGGUCCGAGAAUAGACGAGCGCGCGAUGAUCGUUGCCGAGUUUGCAAGGUUAUAGAUAUCCAGACGCGGCUGGUACACCUUACCGCCAGCCCUGAAGGGCAUCCGGAAGCUCAUGUCGAGCUGAUUCAGAUCCGGCAGACGUGUCGUCCCACGCGGCUCGGUCGUGACGUUCGUGGUCCCUUGCGUCAACGCCACGGUAUUGCUGCCGACCGAGACCUGCGUCAGCUCGGGAAAUCCUUUCUGGUGCUGGAACGUGCCGCUCAUCGAUAUGCCCAGCGGCAGGUCGUACAGCCCCGAGAGGCGGAACGAAAACGGCGUAUCGUUCCCCGCGAUCCCACGAGCGAACUCCAUCGAGUUCGGGUUGUUCAGGUCGGUAUUGCCGACAUAGCCCGUGGUCUCGCCGAUACUGACGCCGCCGGUCAUCAUCCAACCAUUGCUCAUCCGCUUGUUGAGUGAAAUAUCCGUACCGUUGUACGUGCUGUCGAGCUCGGGCGCGUUUGUCCAGACGAGGUCCUGCCGCCCGCGCAAAGCGGGCGAUUGGUUGUAGACGGUCACAGGGACUCCGCUGCUGGCCUCGACCACGUUCAACGGAAUGUACGUGUCCAUCGGGACCGCGACGUUACGAGAAC